AUAAAUAACGAAUAUUAUUGAAAUUUUAAAAAGAAAAAAGAAGAUAGGGGCUUUAAUUUUCGACGCUAGUUUCGUCAUCGCAAUAUUUUACACUGCCUUGGUAAGAAGGUAAAUAGAAACAUUUAACAGUGGCAAUAUUGGUAUUUCGAUAAAAAGAGUCUAUUUAAACGAAAUGCUUGCUGCCAAACAAACGGACCGUGUUGCUUCGUCUUCGUCGAUCGUCCCUUUCCCCAAUCUGAGGAAAAUUGCCGCGUUAAACGACACCUUCGCUCCUCCCUGCUGCGUCCAUUCUUGGACGUUCUUGAAGAUCCAACUCUCCCAAUACUUCACUUUCCCCCGGCAAUCAAUCAUCAGACGAAGAAUCAAGCUAUAAACUGUUGAUAAUCUCAUCCCAAAACAAUUUCAUCUCAAGAAUUUUCCGGACAAAAUUCAGGUAGGGAUUGAAUUGAGAAAUUGAAGUUGUCCAUAGUUUUGGGAAGCUGUACUGGGUCAAAACAUGGCCUCGGCUAAUGCAAGCAGUUGUCCGGCCCCAAUGAAGGCAACAUCAAAUGGGGUAUUCCAGGGAGACAACCCUCUUGAUUUUGCACUCCCUCUUGCCAUUCUUCAGAUCUGCUUUGUGGUUCUUAUCACGCGGUUCCUCGCCAUUCUUUUAAAACCUUUUAAGCAGCCUCGGGUGAUUGCUGAGAUUGUGGGUGGGGUACUGCUAGGACCAUCAGCUCUGGGACGCAGUGAGAAGUAUCUGCAUGCAAUCUUCCCAUCCAAGAGCCUCACUGUGCUGGAUACCUUAGCCAACCUUGGUCUCCUCUUCUUCCUGUUCCUUGUAGGCCUAGAGUUGGACCCCAAAUCCCUCCGCCGCACAGGUAAGAAAGCCCUCAGCAUUGCCCUUGCAGGAAUCAGCUUGCCAUUUGCAUUAGGAAUUGGUACCUCAUUUGCCCUCAGAGCAACCAUCUCCAAAGGUGUGGACGGUCCCCCAUUUCUUAUCUUCAUGGGGGUGGCUCUUUCCAUCACUGCCUUCCCUGUUCUUGCUCGAAUCCUUGCCGAACUUAAGCUCUUAACUACUGAUAUUGGCCGGAUGGCCAUGUCAGCUGCUGCUGUUAACGAUGUUGCGGCAUGGAUUCUUCUUGCUCUGGCCAUUGCCCUCUCUGGCUCUAAUAGUUCUCCCCUUACCUCUCUCUGGGUCUUCCUUUGCGGAAUUGGGUUUGUUAUCUUUUGCUCUGUUGCUCUCCCUCCAGUCUUCAGAUGGAUGGCGCAGCGAUGCCCGGAGGGUGAGCCGGUGGAAGAAAUGUAUGUCUGUGCAACUCUGGCAGCAGUCUUAGCUGCGGGGUUUGUCACAGAUGCUAUUGGAAUUCAUGCCCUGUUCGGGGCUUUUGUGGUUGGGGUUUUGAUGCCAAAAGAAGGCCCAUUUGCAGGUGCCCUGGUUGAGAAGGUUGAGGAUCUGGUAUCUGGCCUCUUCCUUCCUCUGUACUUUGUCUCGAGCGGCUUGAAGACCAAUGUUGCCAGCAUUAGCGGAGCUCAAUCAUGGGGCCUCCUAGUUCUGGUUAUAUUCACAGCCUGUUUUGGGAAGAUUGUGGGCACUGUUAUUGUCUCCCUCUGUUGCAGGGUGCCCUUUCAAGAGGCUCUAGCUCUUGGGUUCCUAAUGAACACUAAAGGCCUGGUGGAGCUCAUAGUACUCAACAUUGGUAAAGACAGGAAGGUAUUGAAUGAUCAAACGUUUGCCAUAAUGGUUUUAAUGGCUCUCUUCACAACUUUUAUCACUACCCCACUAGUCAUGGCCGUGUACAAGCCGGCUAAAAGCAAGAGUAAAGCUGCUGAUUAUAAGCAUCGAACAAUCGAGAGAAAAGAUACGAGUACUCAGCUAAGGAUCCUGGCAUGUUUCCACAGCACAUGGAACAUCCCUACCAUGAUCAACCUUGUUGAGGCUUCCCGGGGUACCGAAAAGAGGGAAGGACUCUGCGUCUAUGCAAUGCACCUCAUGGAGCUCACCGAGAGGCCUUCUGCUAUACUCAUGGUCCACAAGGCUAGAAAGAAUGGCUUACCCUUUUGGAACAAGGGACUGAACUCUGGCUCCAACCAAGUAGUUGUUGCGUUUGAGGCUUUCCGGCAGCUGAGCCGGGUGUCUGUCCGCCCAAUGACAGCAAUAUCUGCCGUCUCCAGCAUGCAUGAGGACAUCUGUGGGAGCGCAGAGAGGAAAAGGGCAGCAAUGAUCAUUCUCCCAUUCCACAAGCACCAGAGGUUGGAUGGAGGGUUAGAGACCACCAGAAUCGAGUUCCGGUGGGUGAACCGGAGGGUUCUUGAGAAUGCACCCUGCUCAGUGGGGAUUCUGGUGGACCGAGGGCUUGGUGGGAGCACCCAUGUCCCUGCCAGCAAUGUUUCUUCCCUCAUAACUGUUCUGUUUUUUGGAGGCUGCGAUGAUAGGGAAGCUCUGGCUUAUGGGGCACGAAUGGCUGAACAUCCCGGGAUUAGUCUAGUGGUGAUUAGGUUCUUGAUAGAACCGGAGAUUGCUGGGAAAUCAACAGAAGUGGAUAUAUAUGACAACCAUGGAAAUGAAGCAAGGCCUGCAGAUGAAGAGUUCCUUGCUGGGUUCAAACAGAAGAUUUCCCGUGAGAACUCGGUUGGGUAUGAAGAAAGGCUGGUGAAGAGUGCUGCUGAAACAGUGGAUGUUGUUCGGGAGUUUAGCAAGUGCAAUCUGUUUGUUGUGGGCCGAAUGUCGGAGGGUGAGGUGGUUAAAGCUCUGGGUAACGGAAGGAGCGAGUGCCCGGAGCUUGGGCCGGUGGGCAGCUUGCUGACUUCUCCAGACUUUUCAACGUCAGCAUCAGUUUUGGUGGUGCAGCAGUAUCGCAGCCAGUUGGUUUUGGAUUCCUUAGAUUCACCAGGGGAAGCAGAGGUGCCUGGGAGAGACUCCGAAUCAAACUAGAACUGGUUGGUUUUGACCAAUUGUACAGCAUGUGUGGUGAUGAUGAAUGAUGGAAAUUCAGUAGGAUCAGCGAUCAGCUCUCUGUCUCCAUAUUUUUUGCUCUUCAUUUGGAGGUCUUUGAACUAUCUAUACCAUAUGGAUAUUAACUAAAUUCAGCAAAACAGAGUGCCCCGUGGUACGCUAUGCACUAGAGAACAUCAGACUCCAGAGAAUAAAGGCAGAUGAAAGACUCGAGAGAAAGGUGGAGAAACUGAGAAAUCAAUUAGUUUAGAGGUUCUCCAAAAACACUUUGCAGGGAGUCUUAAAGAUGCUGCAGAACCUCGGCGGAUGGAUAGCUAGUUGGUGUCAUGUAUUACCCCCAUAUGACUGGGUUGUGCGGUCCAAAGGCGAGAUCUAAUAAUGGCUGACCGACCAUGCUAGGUCAAAAACUCCGAUCUGUAAGUACGAUGGGUCUGCCCCACCUGGUCUCGACUGCUAGGGGAACAUCUCCAAACUACACUGAAGCCACAUCGACUGCCAC